rnacentral:lncRNA from 1 species
GUGCGCUUGCGGAUCAUUUUCUAAUUGCGUUACCAAAUAUCAACAAGCAUUUCUGGCGCCGUUACCGGGGAGAAAGACGGUUUGCUGAGAUAACUUUGAGUCUUGCUAUUAUCUUGUAUUAUACUUUUAUACUUUUAUUAUUUUAUCUUUUUAUUUUUAUCUUUAUGGAUAACUCAAAUUCCAUACCUAUUAUUAAAUUCUUUGCACCUUCGGAGACCAGCCAUAGACCAUGGGAGUCAACACGUCCUGCCCCUAAUUAUGAUCUGUGUCCGGAGUUGAUUGCAAUAGGUCAAAACUAACCCUUUUCUAUAGCCGAGGUCCUAUCUUUUAAUCAAGAAGAUAAUGCACAUUUAGCUACACCUAGGGAAUCUGUUAAUCUUUCUAUAAAUUCUGGUUUAGACCUAGCCCUACAAGACCAUGUUUUUCCUAAAUAUUUUUACAUUGGUCUUAAUCAUAUAACCUUUGGUAG